ACAAACUUGGUCAUUUAGAGGAAGUAAAAGUCGUAACAAGGUUUCCGUAGGUGAACCUGCGGAAGGAUCAUUAUUGAAUGAACUUGACCUAGUUGUUGCUGGCUCCUUGGAGCAUGUGCACACUUGGUACUCAUUCCGUUUUUAAACCCACUUGUGCACUUUUCUGUAGAGCCCUGAGAUAUAUCUAAUUAUUCAGGUCUUUCCUGAGUUGAAGGUUUGCUGUGCGAGAGUCAGCUUUCCUUCAUUUUUAUCUCUAGGGAUCUAUGUCUUCUAAUAUACACCUAAUGAAUGUAACGGAAUGUUAUUGUUGGUUUAAAAUGUAAUAAUACAACUUUCAACAAUGGAUCUCUUGGCUCUCGCAUCGAUGAAGAACGCAGC
rnacentral:misc_RNA from 1 species